rnacentral:rRNA from 1 species
UACAAGCACCCCGAGUGGUCGGGACGUUUAUGGGGCCUAAAGCAUCCGUAGCCGGUUCUACAAGUCUUCCGUUAAAUCCAACUGCUUAACAGGUGGGCUGCGGAAGAUACUAUAGAGCUAGGAGGCGGGAGAGGCAAGCGGUACUCGAUGGGUAGGGGUAAAAUCCGUUGAUCCAUUGAAGACCACCAGUGGCGAAGGCGGCUUGCCAGAACGCGCUCGACGGUGAGGGAUGAAAGCUGGGGGAGCAAACCGG